rnacentral:sRNA from 1 species
UCGCGGCCGCCGCCAACAUGGCCGAGACCAGCGAGGAGGUGGCGGUGCUGGUGCAGCGGGUGGUGAAGGACAUCACUAACGCCUUCAGGAGGAACCCGCACAUAGAUGAAAUUGGCCUGAUCCCAUGUCCUGAAGCUAGGUAUAACCGGAGUCCCAUAGUCCUGGUUGAAAACAAACUGGGUGUGGAGAGCUGGUGUGUCAAGUUCCUUUUACCAUAUGUCCACAACAAGCUCCUUUUGUACAGAACAAGAAAGCAAUGGCUGAACAGAGAUGAAUUGAUAGAUGUCACAUGUACCCUGCUGCUUCUAAACCCAGACUUUACCACUGCAUGGAACGUGAGGUAUGUCAUUUUCAUUAGUGAUAUGAUAAAGUUUGUCCAAAUUUCUGAAGACAUAUAAGCCCCAUAAGUUGUUAGCUUUUGAAAACGAAAUAUAAACCAUCUUACACUUAUUUCUUCUACCUAUUCUUUAUACCUGUGACAAUUCUAAAUACGCAUUUUGCCCCUUUUUGCGUGGUGUCUUCAUAAACUUUCUUGCCUGAAAUAUAAAUUGUCAUGUUGAGUUACAGUAUACUGUUUGAUACAUGCUUUUGUUUUCCUUCAUUUUUUGGGGUGGGA